GAGUGGAAUAUCGUAUCUACCUUGGAGCGUACGACAGCGGUGGUGUACAGUUCUGGAUUUGCGAGUCAGACAAAAAUAGAUAAAAAGUAGAAAAAGAAGAAACAGAAGAACGAUCGCAUAGCAAAAUAUUCUAACAGGUCACAGUGGAAUAUCGUAUCUACCUUGGAGCGUACGACAGCGGUCGUGUACAGUUCUGCAUUUGCGAGUCACACAAAAAUAGAUAAAAAGUA